rnacentral:rRNA from 1 species
UGGGGAAUAUUGCACAAUGGAGGAAACUCUGAUGCAGCAAUGUCGCGUGAGUGAAGAAGGCCCUUGGGUCGUAAAGCUCUUUUAUGGGGGAAGAUGAUGACGGUACCCCAAGAAUAAGCACCGGCUAACUAUGUGCCAGCAGCCGCGGUAAUACAUAGGGUGCGAGCGUUGUUCGGAAUUACUGGGCGUAAAGGGCGCGCAGGCGGAAUAGUAAGUCGGAGGUGAAAGCCCGGGGCUCAACCCCGGAGGGUCUUUCGAAACUGCUAAUCUAGAGAGGGUCAGGGGCCGGCAGAAUUCCUGGUGUAGAGGUGAAAUUCGUAGAUAUCAGGAGGAAUACCGGUGGCGAAGGCGGCCGGCUGGGGCCACUCUGACGCUGAGGCGCGAAAGCGUGGGGAGCAAACAGGAUUAGAUACCCUGGUAGUCCACGCCGUAAACGAUGAGCACUGGACGUCCGGAGGGUUCGACCCUUCUGGGUGUCUCAGCUAACGCAUUAAGUG